AAUUAACUUAAUUAUCAUUGUUGUCGUUAUUUUGGUGAAGGUAGACAUCAAACAACUUGUGACUUUGAAAGUUCAACUUGAAGCCACUCAAAUUAUGACAGAAAAUAUUGAUUAUUGAAUUAGCUGUCUUUUCCCCUGUUCCAAUUUCUA